AAUCGCGGUAGAGGCGCGGAAUAAAUAAGUAGUGUUUGCUGGGGUGAUGCCAAUGAGCAAACAUAAAAGGUUAUUUCGCCGAAGUGAAUUCUCUCAUCAAGGAGGUUUGCUGGGGUUACACUCGAAAGGGGUAACACUGCCAUAGUCUAUAAUUUGUAAAACUAUGGAGCGCUACUGUAGGG
rnacentral:ncRNA from 2 species